GGUUGUAGCAAAUAUUCAAACGAGAACUUUGAAAGUCGAAGUGGAGAAGGCUUUCAUGUGAACAGUAGUUGAACAUGGAUCAGUUGGUCCUAAGAGAUGGGCGAACGCCGUUCAGAAGGGAGGGGCGAUGGCCUCCGGCCGAUCGAAAGGGAGUUGGUUCAGAUCCCCGAAUCCGGAGUGGUGGAGACGGGCACCGCGAGGCGUCCAGUGCGGUAACGCGACCGAUACCGGAGAAGCUGGCGGGAGCCCCGGGGAGAGUUCUCUUUUCUUUGUGAAGGGCAGGGCGCCCUGGAAUGGGUUCGCCCCGAGAGAGGGGCCCAAGCCCUGGAAAGCUUCGCGGUUCGGGGGGCGUCCGGUGAGCUCUCGCUGGCCCUUGAAAAUCCGGGGGAGACGGUGUAAAUCUCACGCCGGGCCGUACCCAUAUCCACAGCAGGUCUCGAUCUAUAAGCCCAGAUA
rnacentral:ncRNA from 1 species